rnacentral:rRNA from 1 species
GCAACUCGCCUACACGAAGUUGGAAUUGCUAGUAAUCGUGGAUCAGCCUGCCACGGUGAAUACGUUCCCGGGUCUUGUACACACCGCCCGUCACACCAUGGGAGCUGGUAACACCCGAAGUCAGUAGUCUAACCGCAAGGAGGACGCUGCCGAAGGUGGGAUUAGCGACUGGGGUGAAGUCGUAACAAGGUAAC